rnacentral:rRNA from 1 species
GAACUUAGCAGAGAUGCUUUGGUGCCUUCGGGAACUCUGAGACAGGUGCUGCAUGGCUGUCGUCAGCUCGUGUUGUGAAAUGUUGGGUUAAGUCCCGCAACGAGCGCAACCCUUAUCCUUUAUUGCCAGCGGUCCGGCCGGGAACUCAAAGGAGACUGCCAGUGAUAAACUGGAGGAAGGUGGGGAUGACGUCAAGUCAUCAUGGCCCUUACGAGUAGGGCUACACACGUGCUACAAUGGCGCAUACAAAGAGAAGCGACCUCGCGAGAGCAAGCGGACCUCAUAAAGUGCGUCGUAGUCCGGAUUGGAGUCUGCAACUCGACUCCAUGAAGUCGGGAUCGCUAGUAAUCGUGGAUCAGAAUGCCACGGUGAAUACGUUCCCGGGCCUUGUACACACCGCCCGUCACACCAUGGGAGUGGGUUGCAAAAGAAGUAGGUAGCUUAACCUUCGGGAGGGCGCUUACCACUUUGUGAUUCAUGACUGGGGUGAAGUCGUAACAAGGUAAGCGUAGUGCU